rfam:Mus musculus chromosome 13, GRC primary reference assembly.
ACAAAGGCUCUUUUCAGAGCCAUCCACUUCGUCAUUUAAAAGAGC